rnacentral:rRNA from 1 species
UACAGAGGUCCCGAGCGUUGUUCGGAUUCAUUGGGCGUAAAGGGUGCGUAGGCGGCUUUCUAAGUCCGGUGUGAAAUCCUGGGGCUCAACCCUGGAACUGCAUUGGAUACUGGGAGGCUAGAGUACUGGAGAGGAAACUGGAAUUUACGGUGUAGCAGUGAAAUGCGUAGAGAUCGUAAGGAAGACCAGUGGCGAAGGCGAGUUUCUGGACAGUUACUGACGCUGAGGCACGAAGGCCAGGGGAGCAAACAGG